rnacentral:rRNA from 1 species
AAAUUGAAGAGUUUGAUCAUGGCUCAGAUUGAACGCUGGCGGCAGGCCUAACACAUGCAAGUCGAACGGUAACAGGAAGAAGCUUGCUUCUUUGCUGACGAGUGGCGGACGGGUGAGUAAUGUCUGGGAAACUGCCUGAUGGAGGGGGAUAACUACUGGAAACGGUAGCUAAUACCGCAUAACGUCGCAAGACCAAAGAGGGGGACCUUCGGGCCUCUUGCCAUCGGAUGUGCCCAGAUGGGAUUAGCUAGUAGGUGGGGUAACGGCUCACCUAGG